CGGGGGCGAGGCGAGUUCAGUGUUGAGUGUCCAAGGUCCGAGGCCUUCCGGAGCAGGAGGGCAGGGGCACGCAGCAGACCGGCAGGCGAGCACGUGGGUCUGGUCUGCACGUGUGGGCCUGGGCGCCCUCCCUGCCUGGAGGCCACGACCUGUCGACUUGGCACUUCCCUGGCCCAGGGCCCUUUGCUCUCAUCAGCCCCCUCAUCUCUGCUCAGGGGUGAAAACCAGUUCUCCGUCGCCUUCUGCUUGGGGGAAGUGGGCGCUAGCUCUAAACGCCAUUCUCUUUUGCUGACCCUUUGGAGUUAUUCUUACUUGGAACGCGCGGCACCUACACAGUGGUUGGCGGACAGUGUGAGCAGAGAGACUGAGAUGCGUCGACUCGGGUUGUGUGUUCGGUGCAGGUCGACAUCAGCGAUGGCUCCCCCUUUGGAAGGAGGCACGGAUGCACUGUUCCCAGAUGUCCCCCGGGGCCCCCUGCAUGCCUUCCGCGCCCGCGCGUCCUUCAGCUGGAAGGAGCUGGCACUGUUUUGGGAUGGCGAGGACGUGCUGCGUCUGAAGAAAACCAUCUUCUCGGCUUUGGAGAACGACCCCCUCUUUGCCCCGCCCCGGGAAGGCAACCUCCCCAUGGAGAAGUACCGGGAACUGAACUUCCUGCGUCUCAAGCGGGUCCUCGAGCAUGACUUCCUGCGUGUGGCCGAGCUACUCGAGAGCCCCCUCAAGGCCCUGGCACUGAUAAGCUGUCUGGGCAUGUAUGACUGGUCCCUGGCUAUCAAGCUCUUCCUGCACACAGUGGUUUUCGCAUUCGCGAUUUACAGCUCCGGUUCCGAAAGGCACUUCAAAUACAUUCAGAAGGUUUUCAAUCUGGAGAUUUUUGGAUGUUUUGCUCUGACCGAGAUCAGUCACGGGAGCAACACCAAGGCCAUCCGGACGACCGCUCACUACGACCCCAGCACCGAGGAAUUCAUCAUAAAUUCCCCGGAUUUCGAGGCUGCCAAGUUUUGGGUUGGGAACCUGGGCAAGACGGCUACGCACGCCGUGCUGUUCGCUCAGCUGCACAUGCCGGGGGGCCAGUGCCACGGCCUGCACGCCUUCGUCAUCCAGAUUCGGGACCCGAAGACCCUUCUUCCCGUGCCAGGGGUGAUGGUGGGCGACAUGGGGAAGAAGCUCGGGCAGAAUGGCUUGGACAAUGGGUUCGCCAUGUUCCACCAGGUCAGAAUUCCUCGCCAGGAUCUCCUGAACCGGCACGGAGACGUCACCCCUGAGGGCACCUAUGUCACCCCCUUCAAGGACGCCAGGCAGCACUUCGGGGCGUCUCUGGGCAGCUUGUCCAACGGCCGGGUCUCCAUCACGAGUAUGUCCGUCACUAACCUGAAGCUGGCCGUGUCCAUAGCCAUCCGCUUCUCAGCCACGCGGCGUCAGUUCGGGCCUACAGGCGAGGAGGAGGUGCCGGUCCUGGAGUACCCAAUGCAGCAAUGGCGCCUCCUCCCGUACCUGGCAGCCGCUUUCGCCUUAGACCACUUUUCCAAAUCGCUCUUCCUGGGCCUGGUGGAGCUGCAGCAAGGCCUUCUGGGGAACAGCCGGAGCGCCCGGCAGGCUGAGCUGGGGCGCGAGGUGCACGCCCUGGGGUCAGCCGGCAAGGCCCUGGCCUCGUGGACCGCCCAGCGGGGAAUCCAGGAGUGCAGAGAGGCGUGCGGAGGACACGGCUACCUGGCCGUGAACCGCCUGGGCAACCUCAGAGAUGACAACGACCCCAACUGCACGUACGAAGGGGACAACAAUGUCCUGCUGCAGCAGACCAGCAACUACCUGCUCGGCCUGGCAGGUGGGGGGCCAGGUGGUGCUCGCGUCCAGAGCCCUCUGAGGAGCGUGGACUUCCUGGACGCCUACCCCGCCCUCCUUGGCCGGAAGUUCACGGUCACCAGCCUCCAGGACUGCCUGGACGACUCAGUUCCCCUGGCAGCGUAUGAGUGGCUGGUCUGUUACCUGCUCCGAGAGACUCACCAAAAACUCAGCGAAGAGAAGAGAUCGGGGAGCAGCGACUUCGCAGCCAGAAACAACUCUCAGGGCUGUCCCCCGUUCCGGGAGCCCCGUGCAAACGCAGUGUGGAGAGACAGCCCGUGAAGCCGGGGCCAGGCCGCGAUCCACACGUCCGUGUCCCUGGACCGAUGCUGUCACUUGGGAGGCCGUGAUAAGGGAAGCACCCGAGGCUCCUCAAACUGGUGGUGUCCCUUCCCCUCGGUGUCGAUCCGUCCCUGUCUGCCCGCCUCCUCUGAAAGCCCGGCCCUCCUAAGCCGCCAGGGCCAGCUGCCCCCUGGGGCGGACGCAGAGCUGGUAGUGCCUCCAGGGAAUGGUGGACUCCUGCCCGGGUGGAGACGAGGAACGAGGAUGGGGUCGACGGGAAGGGCUCGGGCCGAGGGCGACUGAGCCAGCGUCGAACCUGUAGCUUAAAGGAAGUGAACCAGCGGCGGCCAGGAUCGGCUACGCCUCGGUUCAGAGCCGCAGCGCGUGAAAUGGGCAUGGAACUGCCCUCGGAGUGGGCAGCGGCCGGGCAGGCUCGGUCACUCGGACGCUGGCGGCUGCGGACUCGCUCAUCCCACAUCGGUCCUAACGCUGUGUGUCAGAUCGUCUUCCUUCAGGCGGAAACGGAGGCCCUGCCCUGAGUUACAAGCCGGCACCCCGAAGAGGUGGAGGGCACAGAGGGGGUCCCGCUUUCCCUCUCCCAGACCCGAGAGUUGCCCGGGGCCGGUGGCUCCGUCCGCACUGCCCGUCACCGUGCCGGCGCCUGGCACGUGUGCCGUCACGGCGGAAGCCAGGCGGUGGCUCGUUUGAGAAGUAGCUCACCUUCCUUAGCCCUUCGCCAAGGGACCCUCACGGUGUCCAGUGGGUCACGCGGCAGAAGAUGGAGGGGCCGGUGGGUGUCCCCAGGGAGUCAGGCAGAGCUGACCAGCACACGUGAGCUGAGGCACAGCCCCACGGAGUGGCUGACGGGACAGUGGCCUAAGGCCCGGAAGGGAGGAUGUGACCCGAGGGGGCCUGUGCCGCCCACCCCGGGUCUGGGUCAGCGAGCGUUCAAGGCCGAGCUUGGGGUCGGUCUGACAGCUGGGCGCGCCCAGAGCCCAGGGCUGGACCUUCAGGGUCCCGAGGGAUGUCGUCCCGUCCCACACGGCAGCUGGAGCGGGCGCAGCGCACGAGCAGGCGUCAGGGGACGCGUGUGCCCUUGGCGUGGGCGGGCCUCCCUGAGGCCGGGGGCCGUCAGCUCCGACGGUGGACGCGUGCCCCUUCCCCGCGGCAAGUGACACUGGGAACGAGGUCGGGACGCAGUCUGCAGACGGAGAGGACACGUGACUCCCGACCACGUCCCCCGCCGUGAGGUCCUGCGGACAGAGGGGCGGCAGCCCUGCAGUCUCUGGCCAUGGACCAGCGCCAGGGCGUGCGGGCGAAGGACGGUGUCCAGUGGGCAGCGGCCACUCCGCGUGCUGUCGACGGAGGGCGGGAGCUGCCGUCCCUGGGGAGACUUCCUGCUUUAGUCGAAGUGUGACGCGUGUUCCCUCUGACACUGCAGAGAGGCUUUUAACUUCCCUCUGUCCGCGCCGCCGGUAACACCUGCCGCUUGCUGUCUGCUUCGCAAGCCAGGCGCACACAGUGUACUACAGCCGCUCCCUGGCCCUGGCGUUCCUGGAGCUCACGGUCGUGCGGAAGUUCCACGAGUUCACGCACCAGCCCUGCG